GGUGAACGCUGGCGGUAGGCCUAACGCAUGCAAGUCGAACGGCAGCACAGUAAGAGCUUGCUCUUACGGGUGGCGAGUGGCGGACGGGUGAGGAAUACAUCGGAAUCUACUUUUUCGUGGGGGAUAACGUAGGGAAACUUACGCUAAUACCGCAUACGACCUACGGGUGAAAGCAGGGGAUCUUCGGACCUUGCGCGAUUGAAUGAGCCGACGUCGGAUUAGCUAGUUGGCGGGGUAAAGGCCCACCAAGGCGACGAUCCGUAGCUGGUCUGAGAGGAUGAUCAGCCACACUGGAACUGAGACACGGUCCAGACUCCUACGGGAGGCAGCAGUGGGGAAUAUUGGACAAUGGGCGCAAGCCUGAUCCAGCCAUACCGCGUGGGUGAAGAAGGCCUUCGGGUUGUAAAGCCCUUUUGUUGGGAAAGAAAAGCAGCAGGUUAAUACCCCGCUGUUCUGACGGUACCCAAAGAAUAAGCACCGGCUAACUUCGUG
rnacentral:rRNA from 1 species